UACGUAGGGGUCGAGCGUUGUCCGGAGUUACUGGGCGUAAAGCGCGCGCAGGUGGCUCAUUACGCCCGGCGUGAAAGCCCCCGGCCUAACCGGGGAAGGUCGUCGGGUACGGGUGAGCUUGAGGGUAUCAGGGGCUGGUGGAAUUCCCGGUGUAGUGGUGAAAUGCGUAGAGAUCGGGAGGAACAUCUGUGGCGAAGGCGGCCAUCUGGACCAGCACUGACACUGAGGCACGAAAGCGUGGGGAGCAAACAGG
rnacentral:rRNA from 1 species